GCUCCUCCACCUGUCGGCCUCCCUUGCUGCAGCCUCCGCCUCCAGCCCCCUGACCACCUUUGCGUCCCUCCAAGUCACCCCCGCGCCCCUGGAAACAGUUUCUCCAACUCCAGGCCCCCCUCCACCCCGGCCGGUCUCCCCGCGCCCGCGCCCCAGCGCCCCCAGCAGCCCCCCUGCAAUCCCCGCCUUGCCCGGGGAUGCUCCGGCGGCCCGGGAGGCCUGCGAGGGCGCCGCGGGCACGGGAGGGGCUGCAGCCGCGGCGCGGAGGGGGGCGGAGGGCACGACCGCGGGGUCGAGAGCUGCAGCCGCGCUCCGGGGACCUUAGCGGGAAGGGGACGGGCGGGGACGGCGUCCCGCGGGGACCCCAGGGGAGGGGGGAGGGGGAGGGGGCGGGGGGCCUCGCCGGGGACCGGACCCGGGCGCCCUGGGGCCCUGCGGAGCACCGAGCUGUGUUUCCGGCCACGGGGAGAGGCGAUCCCGCCCGCCCCAGGCUCCACGCCCGAGCGCCCGCCACCGCCCCCCGCCGCGGCCCGGAGCCCUCACCUGCCACCUCCGCCGCGCGCCGCUCUGCCCGCAGCCACGCUCCGCCGCCCCGGGCCGGAGACCACCUCUAAGCCUCCCGCCCCCGGGGGCGGCGCCUCGGGGCAGGCGGGGGUCCCCCGCGCGGGUCAGGGCCCGGUGGGACGCCCCGCCCCCUCCCGCUCCCCCUUUCCGCUCUCCGCUCCUCCUCUCCCCUCCCCCUCCCUCUCCCCCCUCUCCCCUUCCCUCUCCCCCAGUCCGCUCCCCCCUCCCUCUCCCCCUCCAGCUCCUCCUCCCCGCUCCUCCUCCCCCUCCCCCCUCCCCCCUUCCCCUCCCGCUCCCCCUUUCCUCUCUCCGCUCCUCCUCCCCCCUCCCUCUCCCCUUCCCCCUCCCUCUCCCCCUCUCCCCUCCCCCUCCAGCUCCUCCUCCCCGCUCCUCCUCUCCCUCCCUCUCCCCCUGCCCCCUCCUCCUUCCCCUCCCUCUCCGCCUCCCUCUCCCCUCCGCUCCCCUCCCUCUCCCCCUCCCCGCUCCCCCCCUCCCCGCUCCCCCCUGCCGCUCCCCUUGCCCCCUCCGCGCUCCCCGCUCCUCCUCCCCCCUCCCGCUCCUCCUCCCCGCUCCUCCUCUCCCUCCCUCCCCCCUUCUCCUUCCCCUCUACCCCCCCCCCCGCUCCGGCCCCGCCCAGUCCCCGCCGCACCAGCCCCACCCCCCGGCUCCGGCUGGACGCGCCCGGGUCGGCCCGCGGCCUCGGAAACCGAGGAGGAAGCGAAAGGCGUUUCCCGACUGGCGACGCGCGGGCGGGUCCGGCUCCGGCGUCCCGCGGGUGACCCCGGGGAGGGAGGCCCGGGGGCGGGGGACGGCGCACGCCCGGCUCCCGACUCGCGACAGCUCAGCGCCCGCGCGGGUCCCCGCCGUGCAGGAGCGGGGGCUGCGGUCGCUCCUGCACCCUCCGACCCGGGCUGCAGGACGCACCUGCGGCAGGUGCCUGCCCGCCCCCCUGCGGGACCUGCGCCCUCCCCUCCGGGGCCCCGGCCGCCUGCACCCCAGCAGCGCCCCGCUACCUGCACCUGCGGGGGCCGAACAGGUGCGCUGGGUCAGACCCGCCCGGGAUAG
rnacentral:lncRNA from 1 species